ACAGGCUUAACACAUGCAAGUCGAGGGGCAGCAUGGUCUUAGCUUGCUAAGGCCGAUGGCGACCGGCGCACGGGUGAGUAACACGUAUCCAACCUGCCGUCUACUCUUGGACAGCCUUCUGAAAGGAAGAUUAAUACAAGAUGGCAUCAUGAGUCCGCAUGUUCACAUGAUUAAAGGUAUUCCGGUAGACGAUGGGGAUGCGUUCCAUUAGAUAGUAGGCGGGGUAACGGCCCACCUAGUCUUCGAUGGAUAGGGGUUCUGAGAGGAAGGUCCCCCACAUUGGAACUGAGACACGGUCCAAACUCCUACGGGAGGCAGCAGUGAGGAAUAUUGGUCAAUGGGCGAGAGCCUGAACCAGCCAAGUAGCGUGAAGGAUGACUGCCCUAUGGGUUGUAAACUUCUUUUAUAAAGGAAUAAAGUCGGGUAUGCAUACCCGUUUGCAUGUACUUUAUGAAUAAGGAUCGGCUAACUCCGUGCCAGCAGCCGCGGUAAUACGGAGGAUCCGAGCGUUAUCCGGAUUUAUUGGGUUUAAAGGGAGCGUAGAUGGAUGUUUAAGUCAGUUGUGAAAGUUUGCGGCUCAACCGUAAAAUUGCAGUUGAUACUGGAUAUCUUGAGUGCAGUUGAGGCAGGCGGAAUUCGUGGUGUAGCGGUGAAAUGCUUAGAUAUCACGAAGAACUCCGAUUGCGAAGGCAGCCUGCUAAGCUGCAACUGACAUUGAGGCUCGAAAGUGUGGGUAUCAAACAGGAUUAGAUACCCUGGUAGUCCACACGGUAAACGAUGAAUACUCGCUGUUUGCGAUAUACGGCAAGCGGCCAAGCGAAAGCGUUAAGUAUUCCACCUGGGGAGUACGCCGGCAACGGUGAAACUCAAAGGAAUUGACGGGGGCCCGCACAAGCGGAGGAACAUGUGGUUUAAUUCGAUGAUACGCGAGGAACCUUACCCGGGCUUAAAUUGCAGAUGAAUUACGGUGAAAGCCGUAAGCCGCAAGGCAUCUGUGAAGGUGCUGCAUGGUUGUCGUCAGCUCGUGCCGUGAGGUGUCGGCUUAAGUGCCAUAACGAGCGCAACCCUUGUUGUCAGUUACUAACAGGUUCCGCUGAGGACUCUGACAAGACUGCCAUCGUAAGAUGUGAGGAAGGUGGGGAUGACGUCAAAUCAGCACGGCCCUUACGUCCGGGGCUACACACGUGUUACAAUGGGGGGUACAGAGGGCCGCUACCACGCGAGUGGAUGCCAAUCCCAAAAACCUCUCUCAGUUCGGACUGGAGUCUGCAACCCGACUCCACGAAGCUGGAUUCGCUAGUAAUCGCGCAUCAGCCACGGCGCGGUGAAUACGUUCCCGGGCCUUGUACACACCGCCCGUCAAGCCAUGGGAGCCGGGGGUACCUGAAGUGCGUAACCGCGAGGAGCGCCCUAGGGUAAAACUGGUGACUGGGGCUAAGUCAUA
rnacentral:rRNA from 1 species